rnacentral:sRNA from 1 species
GGUGGAUGGGUGGGUGAGUGGAUGAGCCACUGAUUGAUUGGGUAGAUGGAUGUAUAGAUAGAUUGAUGAUGAGUGGGUGGAUGAAGGAGGGAUGGAGGGAUGGAUGGAUGGAUGGGUGGGUAGGUGAAUACAUGGAUGGAUGAGCCACUGAUUGAGUGGGUGGAUGGGUGGAUCAAUAGAUGGGUGGAGGAUAGAUAGGUGGGUGUAUGGGUGGGUGGAUGGAUUGAUGCAUGGAUGGAUGGGCUGCCCAUUGAGUAGGUGGAUGAGUGGUAAAUGGGUGGGUGGGUAGGUGAAUAGAUGAAUAGAUUGAUAAAUAGGGGGAUGGGUGGACUGGUAGAUGGGUAGAUGGAGGGUACAUUGCUGUGUGGAUAGGUGGGUGAAUGGAUGAAGGAGGGAGGGAUGGGCAGGUAGAUGGAUAGAUUAGUGGAUGGAUGGGUGGAUGGGCUGACAAAUGGCUUGUUCCCAGACUGUUUGUCCUUGGGUGGAGUCAUGCAGGUAUCUAUUGCAGCUGGGCCUGAACCGAUAUCUGAAGAGAGAAGUGGAGACAGCGACCAGACAGAUGAGGAUGGAGAACCUGACUCAGAGGCCCAGGCCCAGGCCCAGCCCUUUGGCAGCAAAAAAAAGCGCCUCCUCUCCGUCCACGACUUCGACUUCGAGGGAGACUCAGAUGACUCCACUCAGCCUCAAGGUCACUCCCUGCACCUGUCCUCAGUCCCUGAGGCCAGGGACAGCCCACAGUCCCUCACAGAUGAGUCCUGCUCGGAGAAGGCAGCCCCCCACAAGACUGAGGGCCUGGAGGAGGCUGACACUGGGGCCUCUGGGUGCCAAUCCCAUCCGGAAGAGCAGCCGACCAGCAUCUUGCCUUCUGGACACAGCACCCUGGCUGAGCUCUGCCCGCCUGGAGGCUCCCACAGGAUGGCCCUGGGGACUGCUGCUGCACUCGGGUCGAAUGUCAUCAGGAAUGAGCAGCUGCCCCUGCAGUACUUGGCCGAUGUGGACACCUCUGAUGAGGAAAGCAUCCGGGCUCACGUGAUGGCCUCCCACCAUUCCAAGCGGAGAGGCCGGGCGUCUUCUGAGAGUCAGGGUCUAGGCGCUGGAGUGCGCACGGAGGCCGAUGUGGAGGAGGAGGCCCUGAGGAGGAAGCUGGAGGAGCUGACCAGCAACGUCAGUGACCAGGGGACCUCGUCCGAGGAGGAGGAGGCCAAGGACGAAAAGGCAGAGCCCAACAGGGGCAAAUCAGUUGGGGCUCUCCCCCAGGCGGACCCGGAGGUGGGCACGGCUGCCCAUCAAACCAACAGACAGGAAAAAAGCCCCCAGGACCCUGGGGACCCCGUCCAGUACAACAGGACCACAGAUGAGGAGCUGUCAGAGCUGGAGGACAGAGUGGCAGUGACGGCCUCAGAAGUCCAGCAGGCAGAGAGCGAGGUUUCAGACAUCGAAUCCAGGAUUGCAGCCCUGAGGGCCGCAGGGCUCACGGUGAAGCCCUCGGGAAAGCCCCGGAGGAAGUCAAACCUCCCGAUAUUUCUCCCUCGAGUGGCUGGGAAACUUGGCAAGAGACCAGAGGACCCAAAUGCAGACCCUUCAAGUGAGGCCAAGGCAAUGGCUGUGCCCUAUCUUCUGAGAAGAAAGUUCAGUAAUUCCCUGAAAAGUCAAGGUAAAGAUGAUGAUUCUUUUGAUCGGAAAUCAGUGUACCGAGGCUCGCUGACACAGAGAAACCCCAACGCGAGGAAAGGAAUGGCCAGCCACACCUUCGCGAAACCUGUGGUGGCCCACCAGUCCUAACGGGACAGGACAGAGAGACAGAGCAGCCCUGCACUGUUUUCCCUCCACCACAGCCAUCCUGUCCCUCAUUGGCUCUGUGCUUUCCACUGUACACAGUCACCGUCCCAAUGAGAAACAAGAAGGAGCACCCUCCACAUGGACUCCCACCUGAAAGUGGACAGCGACAUUCAGUCCUGCACUGCUCACCUGGGUUUACUGAUGACUCCUGGCUGCCCCACCAUCCUCUCUGAUCUGUGAGAAACAGCUAAGCUGCUGUGACUUCCCUUUAGGACAAUGUUGUGUAAAUCUUUGAAGGACACACCGAAGACCUUUAUACUGUGAUCUUUUACCCCUUUCACUCUUGGCUUUCUUAUGUUGCUUUCAUGAAUGGAAUGGAAAAAAGAUGACUCAGUUAAGGCA